rnacentral:rRNA from 1 species
UAGGGAAUCUUCCGCAAUGCGCGAAAGCCUGACGGAGCAACGCCGCGUGAGUGAUGAAGGUCUUCGGAUCGUAAAACUCUGUUAUUAGGGAAGAACAAAUGUGUAAGUAACUAUGCACGUCUUGACGGUACCUAAUCAGAAAGCCACGGCUAACUACGUGCCAGCAGCCGCGGUAAUACGUAGGUGGCAAGCGUUAUCCGGAAUUAUUGGGCGUAAAGCGCGCGUAGGCGGUUUUUUAAGUCUGAUGUGAAAGCCCACGGCUCAACCGUGGAGGGUCAUUGGAAACUGGAAAACUUGAGUGCAGAAGAGGAAAGUGGAAUUCCAUGUGUAGCGGUGAAAUGCGCAGAGAUAUGGAGGAACACCAGUGGCGAAGGCGACUUUCUGGUCUGUAACUGACGCUGAUGUGCGAAAGCGUGGGGAUCAAACAGG